UACGGAAUGUGCAAACGUUAUUCGGAAUCACUGGGCUUAAAGAGUCCGUAGGCGGCUUGUUAGGUGAGGUGUGAAAUCCCCCGGCUCAACCGUGGAAUUGCGCUUCAAACCGGCAAGCUUGAGGAGGAUAGAGGUGGGCGGAACUGAUGGUGGAGCGGUGAAAUGCGUUGAUAUCAUCAGGAACACCGGAGGCGAAAGCGGUCCACUGGGUCCUUUCUGACGCUGAGGGACGAAAGCUAGGGGAGCGAACGGG
rnacentral:rRNA from 1 species